UGCUAGUCGAGUGGCUCAGGCAAAACGAGUCACGGCACACAGCUCAGUAACACGUGGCUAAUCUGCCCUUAGGACGAGAACAACCCCGGGAAACUGGGGCUAAUUCUUGAUAGGUGAAGAACUCUGGAAUGAGUCUUUGCUUAAAUGGAUUCACGUUAUCCUCGUGAGUUUGCCUAAGGAUGAGGCCGCGACCGAUCAGGUUGUUGGCGAGGUAAUGGCUCACCAAGCCUUUUACCGGUGCGGGCCGUGGGAGCGGGAGCCCGGAGAUGGGUACUGAGACAAGGACCCAGGCCCUACGGGGCGCAGCAGUCGCGAAACCUUUGCAAUACACGAAAGUGUGACAGGGCUAUCCCGAGUGCCAUCCGCUGAGGAAGGCUUUUACCCAGUCUAGAACGCUGGGGGAAUAAGGAGAGGGCAAGUCUGGUGUCAGCCGCCGCGGUAAUACCAGCUCUCCGAGUGGUGUGGAUGUUUAUUGGGCCUAAAGCAUCCGUAGCUGGCUAGGUAAGUCCUUUGUUAAAUCCACCGAAUUAAUCGUUGGAUCGCGGGGGAUACUGCUUGGCUAGGGGACGAGAGAGGCAGACGGUAUUUUCGGGGUAGGGGUGAAAUCCUAUAAUCCCGGGAAGACCACCAGUGGCGAAGGCUGUCUGCUAGAACGCGCCCGACGGUGAGGGAUGAAAGCUGGGGGAGCGAACCGGAUUAGAUACCCGGGUAGUCCCAGCUGUAAACGAUGCAGACUAGGUGUUUGGACGGCCACGUGCCGUUCUAGUGCCGCAGGAAAGCUGUUAAGUCUGCCGCCUGGGGAGUACGAUCGCAAGAUUGAAACUUAA
rnacentral:rRNA from 1 species